CUAUAUUAGUAAUAGUAUAAGUAUAUAUGAUUACCUAGCUCGCUGGCAGGCAGCAGCUAAUGACAACUGUAAACAACAUGAUCCUGGAGAUAAGUUCCGUACAUACAAAAACAAUCCCGGGAGAGCAUCGCAUUCGCACCCAUGGGAAACGAUCUAAUCUAAACAUCUAAUCCUGCAUAGUUAAUCAAGCACAUGAGGGCACGUACGUACGUACUGGUCGCCAACUUGAUCACCACGAUCCAGCGUGGCCCCUCUGGCGCCUCCCCAUUGGCCCGCCCGCCCCACGCCGCGCGCUAGCUCCCCUCCGCCGGUUGGAGUGUUGAAGGAAGAAGAAGAACCCGUACGUCGUCCCCUCCGCCGGUUGGAGCGUUGAACCGGACAAGGAAGGAACUGGCUGGUGCGUGUCGUCGUCGCGGCCUGUAACUGAACGCGCCAUUAUUCUAUCUGACUGACUGACUCAUCCAUCGGUAGGGAUGUCGACGGACA
rnacentral:lncRNA from 1 species